UUCUAUCAAGUUCAAUUGGUCAUAACGGCUUUGAACCCAUUCAGCAUCAGUCAACUCGGCCUCCAUCAGGACUCUCAUUGAUGGGAUCUCCACCUCUACUGGGAGUACAACCUCCAUGCUAUAAACAAGAGAGAAAGGGGUUGCCCCUAUUGAAGUGUGAACAGAUGUACGAUAUCCGUGUAAAGCAAAUGGCAACAUCUCAU
rnacentral:lncRNA from 1 species